GACGAACGCUGGCGGCGUGCCUAACACAUGCAAGUCGAACGGAGUUGCACCGAAGAUCUCUUCGGAGUGAAAUGGUGUACACUUAGUGGCGGACGGGUGAGUAACGCGUGAGGAACCUGCCUUUCAGAGGGGGACAACAGUUGGAAACGACUGCUAAUACCGCAUAACAUACUUUGUAGGCAUCUACGAAGUAUCAAAGGAGCAAAUCCGCUGAAAAGAUGGGCCUCGCGUUGGAUUAGGUAGUUGGUGAGGUAACGGCUCACCGAGGCGACGAUCAUUAGCCGGACUGAGAGGUUGAACGGCCACAUUGGGACUGAGACACGGCCCAGACUCCUACGGGAGGCAGCAGUGGGGAAUAUUGCGCAAUGGGGGAAACCCUGACGCAGCAAUGCCGCGUGAAGGAUGAAGGUUUUCGGAUUGAAACUUCUUUUAACUGAGGACGAAAGAAAUGACGGUACUCAGAGAAUAAGCCAACGGGCUAAACUACGUG
rnacentral:rRNA from 1 species